rnacentral:rRNA from 1 species
AUGAACGCUGGCGGCGUGCCUAAUACAUGCAAGUCGCGCGAACAGACGAGGAGCUUGCUCCUCUGACGUUAGCGGCGGACGGGUGAGUAACACGUGGAUAACCUACCUAUAAGACUGGGAUAACUUCGGGAAACCGGAGCUAAUACCGGAUAAUAUAUUGAACCGCAUGGUUCAAUAGUGAAAGACGGUUUUGCUGUCACUUAUAGAUGGAUCCGCGCCGCAUUAGCUAGUUGGUAAGGUAACGGCUUACCAAGGCGACGAUGCGUAGCCGACCUGAGAGGGUGAUCGGCCACACUGGAACUGAGACACGGUACAGACUCCUACGGGAGGCAGCAGUAGGGAAUCUUCCGCAAUGGGCGAAAGCCUGACGGAGCAACGCCGCGUGAGUGAUGAAGGUCUUCGGAUCGUAAAACUCUGUUAUUAGGGAAGAACAAAUGUGUAAGUAACUAUGCACGUCUUGACGGUACCUAAUCAGAAAGCCACGGCUAACUACGUG